UACGAAGGGGGGCUAGCGUUGUUCGGAGUUACUGGGCGUAAAGGGCGCGUAGGCGGCGCAUCAAGUCAGGCGUGAAAGCCCUGGGCUCAACCCGGGAAUUGCGCUUGAGACUGGUGUGCUUGAGUACGGGAGAGGAUAGUGGAAUUCCCAGUGUAGAGGUGAAAUUCGUAGAUAUUGGGAAGAACACCGGUGGCGAAAGCGGCGCACUGGACCUUUUCUGACGCUGAGGCGCGAAAGCCAGGGGGGCAAACAGG
rnacentral:rRNA from 1 species